UGAUGAGUGAUGAUUAAGGCUGAAAGAUCAUUGGACCAGUUAUCCUAAUCAACACAAAAUAGCACCUUAUGCUUGAUGAUUUGAAGUUGUUGACAUUUUGGUAAGAAACAAACUGCAAUUGAAGGCAAAAUAACACCAUAAGGCUUGGAUAAAAAAAUAGACGUUGGAACACUUAGCCAAAAAUAUGGAUGCAACUUCAAGUGAGCCAACAAUAUUGAGAAGCAACGCACCACUCCCUUGAUGAUAUUUUUAAUGUGAUUCAUUGGUAUUUCCAGAUAAAAUGCAAAGCACCGCGUUGCUUAGUCCACGGGAUAUGCAAAGCGAUGUGUUAGAUAUCCCACAUAUGGCAAAUUUGCAAAUCAUUCUCCUACACGGCUAAGUCUUUAGCCUAUUAGUAUAAAUAGGACAUUAUGCAUGAUUUCUAAUCAUCUUGGAUGUCUUGCACAAUUUGGAAGGCUGAUGCAACUCGUCAGUUUUAGGUUUUA